rnacentral:rRNA from 1 species
UACGUGCCAGCAGCCGCGGUAAUACGGAAGGUCCGGGCGUUAUCCGGAUUUAUUGGGUUUAAAGGGAGCGUAGGCCGUGGAUUAAGCGUGUUGUGAAAUGUAGACGCUCAACGUCUGAAUUGCAGCGCGAACUGGUUCACUUGAGUAUGCACAACGUAGGCGGAAUUCGUCGUGUAGCGGUGAAAUGCUUAGAUAUGACGAAGAACUCCGAUUGCGAAGGCAGCUUACGGGAGCACAACUGACGCUGAAGCUCGAAGGUGCGGGUAUCAAACAGGAUUAGAUACCCUGGUAGUCCGCACAGUAAACGAUGGAUGCCCGUUGUUAGUUCACUUUAGAAUUAGCGACCAAGCGAAAGCAUUAAGCAUCCCACCUGGGGAGUACGCCGGCAACGGUGAAACUCAAAGGAAUUGACGGGGGCCCGCACAAGCAGUGGAGUAUGUGGUUUAAUUCGAAGAUACGCGAAGAACCUUACCAAGGCU